rnacentral:rRNA from 1 species
GAUUAACGCUAGCGGCAGGCAUAAUACAUGCAAGUUGAACGGCAGCACAGGUAGCACUCCUGGGUGGCGAGUGGCGCACGGGUGCGUAACACGUAUGCAACCUACCCUAUACAGGCGAAUAACCUUUAGAAAUGAGGGCUAAUACGCCGUAGUAUUACAGAUGGGCAUCUAUUUGUAAUUAAAGAUUUAUCGGUAUAGGAUGGGCAUGCGUCCCAUUAGUUAGUUGGUAAGGUAACGGCUUACCAAGACGAUGAUGGGUAGGGGAUCUGAGAGGACUUACCCCCACACUGGUACUGAGACACGGACCAGACUCCUACGGGAGGCAGCAGUAAGGAAUAUUGGGCAAUGGCCGCGAGGCUGACCCAGCCAUGCCGCGUGCAGGAAGACGGCCUUAUGGGUUGUAAACUGCUUUUAUACGGGAAUAAUAGAGUGUACGCGUACAUUUAUGCAAGUAUCGUAUGAAUAAGCAUCGGCUAACUCCGUG